UACGUAGGCGGAAAAUUAAGUCAGUAGUGAAAUCCUGCAGCUUAACUGUAGAACUGUUAUUGAUACUGGUUUUCUUGAAUAUAGUUGAGGUAGGCGGAAUGUGUAAUGUAGCGGUGAAAUGCUUAGAUAUUACACAGAACACCGAUUGCGAAGGCAGCUUACUAAGCUAUGGUUGACGCUGAGGUACGAAAGCGUGGGGAGCGAACAGGAUUAGAUACCCUGGUAGUCC
rnacentral:rRNA from 1 species